GAAGUGUUAUUAUUUUUAUUAAUUUUUUUGAAGGAAAUAAUUAAUAUAGUACUGCAAAAGACUUCCAUCCCUUUAUAUUUUUGAUCAAUGUCUUUUUAUGACCCGAUGAAGAAAAUAGGGAAGUGGAAGUUGCUGUUCAGCAUGUUGUUGCACAAAAUGUUGAAGUGCAGGUCCUUGGAGAUGCAGAAGCCAGUGUACAAGAAAAUCGUCUUUGCUCUGUAAAAUUACCUCCAAAAAAACUAAAAAGAGGCCGCCCUAAGGGUGCAGGCUUGACAGUCAUCGGACUACCUAAAAA